UUCCAGCUCCAAUAGCGUAUAUUAAAAUUGUUGCGGUUAAAACGCUCGUAGUUGGAUAUUUGUUGAGAACUGCCGGUCUACCCCAGUGGUCAGCACACGGUUUGUUCUCGGCACUUUCCUGGGGAGAGUGUUUGCACUUCACUGUGUGGCACAUGAUCCAGAACUUUUACUUUGAGGAAAUGAGAGUGUUUCAAGCAGCGCCUGUCGUGAAUACGUUAGCAUGGAAUAAUAGCAUGGGACCGCGGUCUGAAGCUGUGG
rnacentral:rRNA from 1 species